AGGAUUUGGCAUGGGCGAAAGCCUGAUGCAGCAACGCCGCGUGAGCGAUGAAGGCCUUCGGGUCGUAAAGCUCUGUCCUCAAGGAAGAUAAUGACGGUACUUGAGGAGGAAGCCCUGGCUAACUACGUGCCAGCAGCCGCGGUAAUACGUAGGGGGCUAGCGUUAUCCGGAAUUACUGGGCGUAAAGGGUGCGUAGGUGGUUUCUUAAGUCAGAGGUGAAAGGCUACGGCUCAACCGUAGUAAGCCUUUGAAACUGGGAAACUUGAGUGCAGGAGAGGAGAGUGGAAUUCCUAGUGUAGCGGUGAAAUGCGUAGAUAUUAGGAGGAACACCAGUUGCGAAGGCGGCUCUCUGGACUGUAACUGACACUGAGGCACGAAAGCGUGGGGAGCAAACAGGAUUAGAUACCCUG
rnacentral:rRNA from 1 species